rnacentral:rRNA from 1 species
CCUACGGGGGGCAGCAGUGGGGAAUAUUGCACAAUGGGGGAAACCCUGAUGCAGCGACGCCGCGUGAGUGAAGAAGUAAUUCGUUACGUAAAGCUCUAUCAGCAGGGAAGAAACACUGACCUUACGGUCAGCAGCCGGUACCUGAGUCAGAAGCCCCGGCUAACUACGUGCCAGCAGCCGCGGUAAUACGUAGGGGGCAAGCGUUAUCCGGAUUUACUGGGUGUAAAGGGAGCGUAGACGGUGCGCCAAGUCUGGAGUGAACUGCCGCAGCUUAACUGCGGAACUGCUUUGGAAACUGGCGAACGAGAGUGCGGGAGGGGUAAGCGGAAUUCCUAGUGUAGCGGUGAAAUGCGUAGAUAUUAGGAGGAACACCGGUGGCGAAGGCGGCUUACUGGACCGUAACUGACGUUGAGGCUCGAAAGCGUGGGGAGCAAACAGGAUUAGAUACCCCUGUAGUC